AUUGAACGCUGGCGGCAGGCCUAACACAUGCAAGUCGAGCGGCUGCGGGACCUUCGGGUUGCCGGCGAGCGGCGGACGGGUGAGUAAUGCCUAGGAAUCUGCCUGUUAGUGGGGGAUAACGCGGGGAAACUCGCGCUAAUACCGCAUACGUCCUACGGGAGAAAGCGGGGGCUCUUCGGAGCCUGCGCUAUCAGAUGAGCCUAGGUCGGAUUAGCUAGUUGGGGGGGUAAUGGCCCACCAAGGCGACGAUCCGUAACUGGUCUGAGAGGAUGGUCAGUCACACUGGAACUGAGACACGGUCCAGACUCCUACGGGAGGCAGCAGUGGGGAAUAUUGGAAAAUGGGCGAAAGCCUGAUCCAGCCAUGCCGCGUGUGUGAAGAAGGUCUUCGGAUUGUAAAGCACUUUAAGUCGGGAGGAAGGGCUGUAGGCUAAUACCUUGCAGUUUUGACGUUACCGACAGGAUAAGCACCGGAUAACUUCGUGCCAGCCGCCGCGGUAA
rnacentral:rRNA from 1 species